UGGGGAAUAUUGCACAAUGGGCGGAAGCCUGAUGCAGCGACGCCGCGUGAGGGAUGACGGCCUUCGGGUUGUAAACCUCUUUCAGCAGGGACGAAGCGCAAGUGACGGUACCUGCAGAAGAAGCGCCGGCCAACUACGUGCCAGCAGCCGCGGUAAGACGUAGGGCGCGAGCGUUGUCCGGAUUUAUUGGGCGUAAAGAGCUCGUAGGCGGCUUGUCGCGUCGRCUGUGAAAACCCGCGGCUCAACYGCGGGCCUGCAGUCGAUACGGGCAGGCUAGAGUUCGGUAGGGGAGACUGGAAUUCCUGGUGUAGCGGUGAAAUGCGCAGAUAUCAGGAGGAACACCGGUGGCGAAGGCGGGUCUCUGGGCCGAUACUGACGCUGAGGAGCGAAAGCGUGGGGAGCGAACAGGAUUAGAUACCCUGGUAGUCCACGCUGUAAACGUUGGGCGCUAGGUGUGGGGGGCCUCUCCGGUUCCCUGUGCCGCAGCUAACGCAUUAAGCGCCCCGCCUGGGGAGUACGGCCGCAAGGCUA
rnacentral:rRNA from 1 species